AAGACGUAAUUAGAGUGACAGAGAAAAAUGCCCGCAAUUUGCUAACUUCGAUUUUCGCGUAACUUAUACUGUGCCUUAAACUAUUUUUUUGCAAGUUUUCACAGAUAAUAAAAUGUGACAUUGAUGCAUCAAGGCGGUUUGUUUACAAAGGGCCUACCGGAAAACGCGAAAAUCCUUAUAUCUGUCUCUUUAUCGCUCGAAUAUGCACGAGUGAUAGAGAGGUUAGAUAACGAAAUUUCAAUUUUCUUGUCUCGCGGUAGACACUCAGAUUGUGAUGGAUUGUGGUAGUGGCGCCCCCUUCGCGGAGUUUCUCGUAAUAUUCCCUAUU